rnacentral:rRNA from 1 species
CGCUAACACUCCUACGGGAGGCAGCAGUAGGGAAUCUUCCACAAUGGGCGCAAGCCUGAUGGAGCAACACCGCGUGAGUGAAGAAGGGUUUCGGCUCGUAAAGCUCUGUUGUUAAAGAAGAACACGUAUGAGAGUAACUGUUCAUACGUUGACGGUAUUUAACCAGAAAGUCACGGCUAACUACGUGCCAGCAGCCGCGGUAAUACGUAGGUGGCAAGCGUUAUCCGGAUUUAUUGGGCGUAAAGAGAGUGCAGGCGGUUUUCUAAGUCUGAUGUGAAAGCCUUCGGCUUAACCGGAGAAGUGCAUCGGAAACUGGAUAACUUGAGUGCAGAAGAGGGUAGUGGAACUCCAUGUGUAGCGGUGGAAUGCGUAGAUAUAUGGAAGAACACCAGUGGCGAAGGCGGCUACCUGGUCUGCAACUGACGCUGAGACUCGAAAGCAUGGGUAGCGAACAGGAUUAGAUACCCUGGUAG